UCCUGGCUCAGGAUGAACGCUGGCGGCGUGCUUAACACAUGCAAGUCGAACGAAGCACUUGCAGCAGACUGGAGAGCUUGCUCAAAGGGAAGCAGCAUUUGACUGAGUGGCGGACGGGUGAGUAACGCGUGGAUAACCUGCCUCAUACAGGGGGAUAACAGUUGGAAACGGCUGUUAAUACCGCAUAAGCGCACGAAACCGCAUGGUUUUGUGUGAAAAACUCCGGUGGUAUGAGAUGGGUCCGCGUCUGAUUAGCUAGUUGGCAGGGUAACGGCCUACCAAGGCGACGAUCAGUAGCCGGCCUGAGAGGGUGUACGGCCACAUUGGGACUGAGACACGGCCCAAACUCCUACGGGAGGCAGCAGUGGGGAAUAUUGCACAAUGGGGGAAACCCUGAUGCAGCGACGCCGCGUGGGUGAAGAAGUAUUUCGGUAUGUAAAGCCCUAUCAGCAGGGAAGAAAAUGACGGUACCUGACUAAGAAGCCCCGGCUAACUACGUG
rnacentral:rRNA from 1 species